rnacentral:rRNA from 1 species
GUGGGGAAUCUUGCGCAAUGGGCGAAAGCCUGACGCAGCCAUGCCGCGUGAAUGAUGAAGGUCUUAGGAUUGUAAAAUUCUUUCACCGGGGACGAUAAUGACGGUACCCGGAGAAGAAGCUCCGGCUAACUUCGUGCCAGCAGCCGCGGUAAUACGAAGGGGGCUAGCGUUGCUCGGAAUUACUGGGCGGAAAGGGCGCGUAGGCGGACAGCUUAGUCAGAGGUGAAAGCCCAGGGCUCAACCUUGGAAUUGCCUUUGAUACUGGCUGUCUUGAGUUUGGGAGAGGUGAGUGGAACUCCGAGUGUAGAGGUGAAAUUCGUAGAUAUUCGGAAGAACACCAGUGGCGAAGGCGACUCACUGGCCCAAUACUGACGCUGAGGCGCGAAAGCGUGGGGAGCAAACAGGAUUAGAAACCCUAGUAGUCC